rnacentral:misc_RNA from 1 species
GAUGAAGAACGUAGUGAAAUGCGAUAAGUAAUGUGAAUUGCAGAAUUCAGUGAAUCAUCGAAUCUUUGAACGCACAUUGCGCCCAUUAGUAUUCUAGUGGGCAUGCCUGUUCGAGCGUCAUUACAACCCUUAAGCCUAGCUGCUUAGCGUUGGGAACUUAGCCUCCAAAGCUAAUUCCUUAAAGACAUUGGCAGAGUUGCGGCAUACUCUAAGCGUAGUAAUUUAUUCUCGCUUCUGAAGGUGUCGUGACGAUCGCCACAAACCUCUAUAGAUCUAGUGGUUGACCGCGGAUCAGGUAGGAAUACCCGCUGAACUUAAGCAUAUCAAUAAGCGGAGGA